rnacentral:rRNA from 1 species
UACGAAGGGGGCUAGCGUUGCUCGGAAUCACUGGGCGUAAAGGGUGCGUAGGCGGGUCUUAAGUCAGGGGUGAAAUCCUGGAGCUCAACUCCAGAACUGCCUUUGAUACUGAAGAUCUUGAGUUCGGGAGAGGUGAGUGGAACUGCGAGUGUAGAGGUGAAAUCGUAGAUAUUCGCAAGAACACCAGUGGCGAAGGCGGCUCACUGGGUCAUUACUGACGCUGAGGCACGAAAAGCGUGGGGGAGCAAACAGGG